rnacentral:rRNA from 1 species
UACGGAGGGGGCUAGCGUUGUUCGGAAUUACUGGGCGUAAAGCGCGCGUAGGCGGCUUUGUAAGUUAGAGGUGAAAGCCCGGAGCUCAACUCCGGAACUGCCUUUAAGACUGCAUCGCUAGAAUUGUGGAGAGGUAAGUGGAAUUCCGAGUGUAGAGGUGAAAUUCGUAGAUAUUCGGAAGAACACCAGUGGCGAAGGCGGCUCACUGGACUGGUAUUGACGCUGAGGUGCGAAAGCGUGGGGAGCAAACAGG